UGGAGGAAAGUAGGGGAUCGUAAGACCUUGCGCUUUUGGAGCGGCCGAUGUCUGAUUAGCUAGUUGGUGGGGUAAUGGCCUACCAAAGCUUCGAUCAGUAGCUGGUCUGAGAGGACGGCCAGCCACACUGGGACUGAGACACGGCCCAGACUCCUACGGGAGGCAGCAGUGGGGAAUUUUGGACAAUGGGCGCAAGCCUGAUCCAGCCAUGCCGCGUGAGUGAAGAAGGCCUUCGGGUUGUAAAGCUCUUUCAGCCAGGAAGAAAAGGCUGCGAUUAAUAAUCGCAGUUCAUGACGGUACCGGAAGAAGAAGCACCGGCUAACUACGUGCCAGCAGCCGCGGUAAUACGUAGGGUGCGAGCGUUAAUCGGAAUUACUGGGCGUAAAGGGUGCGCAGGCGGUUUUGUAAGUCAGAUGUGA
rnacentral:rRNA from 1 species